rnacentral:rRNA from 1 species
CGGACGGGUGAGUAACGCGUGAGAAUCUAACUUCAGGACGGGGACAACAGUUGGAAACGACUGCUAAUACCCGAUGUGCCGCAAGGUGAAAACUAAUUGGCCUGAAGAAGAGCUUGCGUCUGAUUAGCUAGUUGGUGGGGUAAGAGCCUACCAAGGCGACGAUCAGUAGCUGGUCUGAGAGGAUGAGCAGCCACACUGGGACUGAGACACGGCCCAGACUCCUACGGGAGGCAGCAGUGGGGAAUUUUCCGCAAUGGGCGAAAGCCUGACGGAGCAACGCCGCGUGAGGGAGGAAGGUCUUUGGAUUGUAAACCUCUUUUCUCAAGGAAGAAGUUCUGACGGUACUUGAGGAAUCAGCCUCGGCUAACUCCGUGCCAGCAGCCGCGGUAAUACGGGGGAGGCAAGCGUUAUCCGGAAUUAUUGGGCGUAAAGCGUCCGCAGGUGGUCAGCCAAGUCUGCCGUCAAAUCAGGUUGCUUAACGACCUAAAGGCGGUGGAAACUGGCAGACUAGAGAGCAGUAGGGGUAGCAGGAAUUCCCAGUGUAGCGGUGAAAUGCGUAGAGAUUGGGAAGAACAUCGGUGGCGAAAGCGUGCUACUGGGCUGUAUCUGACACUCAGGGACGAAAGCUAGGGGA